CGGCGGACGGGUGAGUAACGCGUGGGUAACCUGCCUCAUACAGGGGGAUAACAGUUGGAAACGGCUGCUAAUACCGCAUAAGCGCACAGUACCGCAUGGUACCGUGUGAAAAACUCCGGUGGUAUGAGAUGGACCCGCGUCUGAUUAGCUAGUUGGUGGGGUAACGGCCUACCAAGGCGACGAUCAGUAGCCGGUCUGAGAGGAUGAACGGCCACAUUGGGACUGAGACACGGCCCAG
rnacentral:rRNA from 1 species